UACAGAGGUCCCAAGCGUUAAUCGGAAUUACUGGGCGUAAAGCGUGCGCAGGCGGUUUUGUAAGCCAGAUGUGAAAGCCCCGGGCUUAACCUGGGAAUGGCAUUUGGGACUGCAAGGCUGGAGUACGGCAGAGGGAGGUGGAAUUCCACGUGUAGCAGUGAAAUGCGUAGAGAUGUGGAGGAACACCGAUGGCGAAGGCAGCCUCCUGGGCUAGUACUGACGCUCAUGCACGAAAGCGUGGGGAGCAAACAGG
rnacentral:rRNA from 1 species